rnacentral:rRNA from 1 species
CACGUAGGGCGUGAGCGUUGUCCGGAAUUAUUGGGCGUAAAGAGCUCGUAGGCGGCCUGUUGCGUCCGCUGUGAAAGCCCGGGGCUUAACCCCGGGUCGGCAGUGGAUACGGGCAGGCUAGAGGUAGGUAGGGGAGAAUGGAAUUCCCGGUGUAGCGGUGAAAUGCGCAGAUAUCGGGAGGAACACCGGUGGCGAAGGCGGUUCUCUGGGAAUGACCUGACGCUGAGGAGCGAAAGUGUGGGGAGCGAACAGG